UACGUAGGGUGCAAGCGUUAAUCGGAAUUACUGGGCGUAAAGCGUGCGCAGGCGGUUUUGUAAGUCUGUCGUGAAAGCCCCGGGCUCAACCUGGGAAUUGCGAUGGAGACUGCAAGGCUUGAAUCUGGCAGAGGGGGGGUAGAAUUCCACGUGUAGCAGUGAAAUGCGUAGAGAUGUGGAGGAACACCGAUGGCGAAGGCAGCCCCCUGGGUCAAGAUUGACGCUCAUGCACGAAAGCGUGGGAAGCAAACAGG
rnacentral:rRNA from 1 species